UAUAAAAGGCGGCGUAAGCUGUCGCUAUGGGAUGGCCCCGCGGUGCAUUAGCUAGUUGGUAAGGUAACGGCUUACCAAGGCGAUGAUGCAUAGCCGAGUUGAGAGACUGAUCGGCCACAUUGGGACUGGGACACGGCCCAAACUCCUACGGGAGGCAGCAGUAGGGAAUCUUCCACAAUGGACGCAAGUCUGAUGGAGCAACGCCGCGUGAGUGAAGAAGGUUUUCGGAUCGUAAAGCUCUGUUGUUGGUGAAGAAGGAUAGAGGUAGUAACUGGCCUUUAUUUGACGGUAAUCAACCAGAAAGUCACGGCUAACUACGUGCCAGCAGCCGCGGUAAUACGUAGGUGGCAAGCGUUGUCCGGAUUUAUUGGGCGUAAAGCGAGCGCAGGCGGAAAAAUAAGUCUGAUGUGAAAGCCCUCGGCUUAACCGAGGAACUGCAUCGGAAACUGUUUUUCUUGAGUGCAGAAGAGGAGAGUGGAACUCCAUGUGUAGCGGUGGAAUGCGUAGAUAUAUGGAAGAACACCAGUGGCGAAGGCGGCUCUCUGGUCUGCAACUGACGCUGAGGCUCGAAAGCAUGGGUAGCGAACAGGAUUAGAUACCCUGGUAGUCCAUGCCGUAAACGAUGAGUGCUAAGUGUUGGGAGGUUUCCGCCUCUCAGUGCUGCAGCUAACGC
rnacentral:rRNA from 1 species